rnacentral:tRNA from 1 species
GGAAAGGUGGCUGAGUGGUUGAAGGCGCAGCAUUGGAAAUGCUGUUUAAGCAAGGCUUAACAAGGGUUCGAAUCCCUUUCUUUCCU